rnacentral:rRNA from 1 species
UACGGAAGGCAGCAGUGGGGAAUAUUGCACAAUGGGCGAAAGCCUGAUGCAGCUAUGCCGCGUGUAUGAAGAAGGCCUUAGGGUUGUAAAGUACUUUCAUCGGGGAGGAAAAAACAAAACUAAUAAUUUUAUUUCUUGACGUUACCCGAAAAAGAAGCACCGGCUAACUCCGUGCCAGCAGCCGCGGUAAUACGGAGGGUGCUAGCGUUAAUCAGAAUUACUGGGCGUAAAGAGCACGUAGGUGGUUUUUUUAAGUCAGAUGUGAAAUCCCUGGGCUUAACCUGGAACUGCAUUUUGAAACUGAAAUACUAGAGUAUCGUAGAGGGAGGUAGAAUUCUAGGUGUAGCGGUGAAAUGCGUAGAUAUCUGGAGGAAUACCUGUGGCGAAAGCGGCCUCUAAACGAAUACUGACACUGAGGUGCGAAAGCGUGGGGAGCAAACAGGGAUUAGAUACC